UUGAACGCUGGCGGCAUGCCUUACACAUGCAAGUCGAACGGCAGCACGGGGGCAACCCUGGUGGCGAGUGGCGAACGGGUGAGUAAUACAUCGGAAUGUACCCAGUAGUGGGGGAUAACUAGUCGAAAGAUUAGCUAAUACCGCAUACGCACUAUGGUGGAAAGCGGGGGAUCGCAAGACCUCGCGCUAUUGGAGCAGCCGAUGUCCGAUUAGGUAGUUGGUGGGGUAAAAGCCUACCAAGCCCGCGAUCGGUAACUGGUCUGAGAGGACGACCAGUCACACUGGGACUGAGACACGGCCCAGACUCCUACGGGAGGCAGCAGUGGGGAAUUUUGGACAAUGGGGGAAACCCUGAUCCAGCAAUGCCGCGUGUGUGACGAAGGCCUUCGGGUUGUAAAGCACUUUUGGCGGGAACGAAACGGCGCUUUCUAAUACAGAGCGCUAAUGACGGUACCCGCAGAAUAAGCACCGGCUAACUACGU
rnacentral:rRNA from 1 species